CUCGCUCGAUACUGUUCGAUAUCGGCCCAUCGCCAGCCCCUUGCGCUCGUCCCCCGCCGUCCCGGAACCAAACCAGGCCGGCGACUGCGAGUGGCGAGUGACGACGGCCACCUCGAGCUCGAAGGCGAGAAGAUCGAUCGUGACUCCUUCGUCGGAUUGAGAUAGAUCGUCUCAGCUGUACCUGUACCGAUCGAUCCGGGGUCUGAGGUGACCCCUACAAGGCGGAUGUCGUCUAGGACGACGGCCAGCAAGAGGAGGAUGGUCGUGGUGGCAGGAUCGCUCGGCGCGCCGGUGCUGCCGGACGAGCUCACCGCGGAGGUGCUCGUGCGGCUGCCCUUCAAGUCCAUCCAGCGCUUCCACGCUGUGUGCCGCUCCUGGGCCGCGGUGCUCUCCUCCGACGAGUUCCUCAGCCUCUACGUCACCUUUGGAAUAAAUAAGAUGGAGGAGAAUUGGCGCACGAGGGCCUCAAAGUUGUUUGUCUGAUUGAUUUGGUCUAUUGAUGGCACAUUUCAUCUGUCUUUUCCCUCUUUUGCGAGGAACAAGUGAUGAACUUUA